GACGAACGCUGGCGGCGUGCCUAAUACAUGCAAGUUGAGCGCUGAAGGUUGGUACUUGUACCAACUGGAUUAGCAGCGGACGGGUGAGUAACACGUGGGGAAUCUGCCUUUGAGCGGGGGACAACUUCUGGAAACGAAUGCUAAUACCGCAUAAUAACUUUAAACACAUGUUUUAAGUUUGAAAGAUGCAAUUGCAUCACUCAAAGAUUAUCCCGCGUUGUAUUAGCUAGUUUGUGAGGGAAAGGCUCAACAAAGCGAAGAUACAUAACCGACCUGAGAGGGGGAUCCGCCAAAUUGGGACUGAGGCAAGGCCCAAACUCCCACGGGAGGCAGCAGUAGGGAAUCUUCGGCAAUGGACGAAAGUCUGAACGAGCAACGCCGCGUGAGUGAAGAAGGUUUUCGGAUCGUAAAACUCUGUUGGUAGAGAAGAACGUUGGUGAGAGUGGAAAGCUCAUAAAGUGACGGUAACUACCCAGAAAGGGACGGCUAACUACGUG
rnacentral:rRNA from 1 species